CUGAUGCGUUGUUGGGUAGGGGAGCGUUCUGUAAGCCUGUGAAGGUGGCCUGUGAGGGUUGCUGGAGGUAUCAGAAGUGCGAAUGCUGACAUAAGUAACGAUAAAGCGGGUGAAAAGCCCGCUCGCCGGAAGACCAAGGGUUCCUGUCCAACGUUAAUCGGGGCAGGGUGAGUCGACCCCUAAGGCGAGGCCGAAAGGCGUAGUCGAUGGGAAACGGGUUAAUAUUCCCGUACUUGGUGUUACUGCGAAGGGGGGACGGAGAAGGCUAUGUUGGCCGGGCGACGGUUGUCCCGGUUUAAGCGUGUAGGUGUGUGUUCCAGGUAAAUCCGGUUCACUUUAACACUGAGGCGUGAUGACGAGGCACUACGGUGCUGAAGCAACAAAUGCCCUGCUUCCAGGAAAAGCCUCUAAGCAUCAGGUAACAUCAAAUCGUACCCCAAACCGACACAGGUGGUCAGGUAGAGAAUACCAAGGCGCUUGAGAGAACUCGGGUGAAGGAACUAGGCAAAAUGGUGCCGUAACUUCGGGAGAAGGCACGCUGACACGUAGGUGAAGUGAUUUACUCAUGGAGCUGAAGUCAGUCGAAGAUACCAGCUGGCUGCAACUGUUUAUUAAAAACACAGCACUGUGCAAACACGAAAGUGGACGUAUACGGUGUGACGCCUGCCCGGUGCCGGAAGGUUAAUUGAUGGGGUCAGCGCAAGCGAAGCUCCUGAUCGAAGCCCCGGUAAACGGCGGCCGUAACUAUAACGGUCCUAAGGUAGCGAAAUUCCUUGUCGGGUAAGUUCCGACCUGCACGAAUGGCGUAAUGAUGGCCAGGCUGUCUCCACCCGAGACUCAGUGAAAUUGAACUCGCUGUGAAGAUGCAGUGUACCCGCGGCAAGACGGAAAGACCCCGUGAACCUUUACUAUAGCUUGACACUGAACAUUGAGCCUUGAUGUGUAGGAUAGGUGGGAGGCUUUGAAGUGUGGACGCCAGUCUGCAUGGAGCCGGCCUUGAAAUACCACCCUUUAAUGUUUGAUGUUCUAACGUGGACCCGUGAUCCGGGUUGCGGACAGUGUCUGGUGGGUAGUUUGACUGGGGCGGUCUCCUCCUAAAGAGUAACGGAGGAGCACGAAGGUUGGCUAAUCCUGGUCGGACAUCAGGAGGUUAGUGCAAUGGCAUAAGCCAGCUUGACUGCGAGCGUGACGGCGCGAGCAGGUGCGAAAGCAGGUCAUAGUGAUCCGGUGGUUCUGAAUGGAAGGGCCAUCGCUCAACGGAUAAAAGGUACUCCGGGGAUAACAGGCUGAUACCGCCCAAGAGUUCAUAUCGACGGCGGUGUUUGGCACCUCGAUGUCGGCUCAUCACAUCCUGGGGCUGAAGUAGGUCCCAAGGGUAUGGCUGUUCGCCAUUUAAAGUGGUACGCGAGCUGGGUUUAGAACGUCGUGAGACAGUUCGGUCCCUAUCUGCCGUGGGCGCUGGAGAACUGAGGGGGGCUGCUCCUAGUACGAGAGGACCGGAGUGGACGCAUCACUGGUGUUCGGGUUGUCAUGCCAAUGGCACUGCCCGGUAGCUAAAUGCGGAAGAGAUAAGUGCUGAAAGCAUCUAAGCACGAAACUUGCCCCGAGAUGAGUUCUCCCUGAGACUUUAGGUCUCCUGAAGGAACGUUGAAGACGACGACGUUGAUAGGCCGGGUGUGUAAGCGCAGCGAUGCGUUGAGCUAACCGGUACUAAUGAACCGUGAGGCUUAACCUUACAACGCCGAAG
rnacentral:rRNA from 1 species